rnacentral:rRNA from 1 species
ACGACUGAGCACGUUGAAAACAGCGGUUCUCGUUUGAUCAUCCAAGUUAAGCAACGUCAGGCCCGAUGGUACUUGUAUGAGAGAUCGGCUGGGAAUACCAGGUGUUUCGGCU